UGCGGUUAAAAAGCUCGUAGUUGGAUUUCUGCUUGGAACGACCGGUCCGCCCUCUGGGUGAGCAUCUGGUUCGGUCCGGGCAUCCUCCUGGGGAACGUUGCUGCACUUGACUGUGUGGUGCGGUACCCAGGACUUUUACUUUGAGGAAAUUAGAGUGUUUCAAGCAGGCAGUUGCCUUGAAUACAUUAGCAUGGAAUAAUAAGAUAGGACCUCGUCCCUACCUUGUUGGUUCGUAGAGAUGGGGUAAUGAUUAAUAGGGAUAGUCGGGGGCAUUCGUACUUAACUGUCAGAGGUGAAAUUCUUGGAUUUGUUAAAGACGAACUACUGCGAAAGCAUUUGCCAAGGAUGUUUUCAUUGAUCAAGAACGAAAGUUAGGGGAUCGAAGACGAUCAGAUACCGUCCUAGUCUUAACCAUAAACUAUGCCGACUAGAGAUUGGAGGUUGUUAUUCAUAUGACUUCUUCAGCACCUUAUGAGAAAUCAAAGUCUUUGGGUUCCGGGGGGAGUAUGGUCGCAAGGCUGAAACUUAAAUGAUUUGACGGAAGGGCACCACCAGGAGUGGAGCCUG
rnacentral:rRNA from 1 species